ACGCUCGACACCUACGGGAAGCAGCAGUUGGGAAUAUUGGACAAUGGAGGAAACUCUGAUCCAGUGACGCCGCGUGAAGGAAGAAGGUCUUCGGAUUGUAAACUUAUUUUGUCAGGGAAGAAAAAUGACUGUACCUGAAGAAAAAGCACCGGCUAACUACGUGCCUGCAGCCGCGGUAAUCUGAGCGGGCUGGCAAGGC
rnacentral:rRNA from 1 species